rnacentral:rRNA from 1 species
GAUGAACGCUAGCGGCAGGCCUAAUACAUGCAAGUCGAACGGAUAUAUGUUUUUCGGAAUAUAUAUUAGUGGCGCACGGGUGAGUAACACGUACAUAACUUGCCCUCAAGCGGGGGAUAGCCUUGGGAAACUGAGAGUAAUACCCCAUAGAAUUAUUGGACGGCAUCGUUUGAUAAUUAAAACUACGGUGGUAUAUGAUGGAUCCGCGUCUGAUUAGCUAGUUGGUGGGGUAAUGGCCACCAAGGCGAUGAUCAGUAGCCGACCUGAGAGGGUGACCGGCCACAUUGGGACUGAGACACGGCCCAAACUCCUACGGGAGGCAGCAGUGGGGAAUAUUGCACAAUGGGCGAAAGCCUGAUGCAGCGACGCCGCGUGAGCGAAGAAGUAUUUCGGUAUGUAAAGCUCUAUCAGCAGGGAAGAAAAUGACGGUACCUGACUAAGAAGCCCCGGCUAACUACGUGCCAGCAGCCGCGGUAAGCAUACUCGUA